rnacentral:rRNA from 1 species
AACGAACGCUGGCGGCAUGCCUAACACAUGCAAGUCGAACGAGACCUUCGGGUCUAUUUGCGCACGGGUGCGUAACGCGUGGGAACCUGCCCUUAGGUUCGGAAUAACUCCCCGUAAGGGGUGCUAAUACCGGAUAAUGUCUUCGGACCAAAGAUUUAUCGCCUUUGGAUGGGCCCGCGUUGGAUUAGCUAGUUGGGAGGGUAAAAGCCUACCAAGGCGACGAUCCAUAGCUGGUCUGAGAGGAUGAUCAGCCACACUGGGACUGAGACACGGCCCAGACUCCUACGGGAGGCAGCAGUGGGGAAUAUUGGACAAUGGGCGAAAGCCUGAUCCAGCAAUGCCGCGUGAGUGAUGAAGGCCUUAGGGUUGUAAAGCUCUUUUACCCGGGAUGAUAAUGACAGUACCGGGAGAAUAAGCUCCGGCUAACUCCGUG